rnacentral:rRNA from 1 species
UACGUAGGGCGCAAGCGUUAUCCGGAAUUAUUGGGCGUAAAGAGCUUGUAGGCGGUUUGUCGCGUCUGCUGUGAAAUCUCAAGGCUCAACUUUGAGCUUGCAGUGGGUACGGGCAGACUAGAGUGUGGUAGGGGAGACUGGAAUUCCUGGUGUAGCGGUGAAAUGCGCAGAUAUCAGGAGGAACACCGAUGGCGAAGGCAGGUCUCUGGGCAUUAACUGACGCUGAGGAGCGAAAGCAUGGGGAGCGAACAGG